rnacentral:rRNA from 1 species
CCUACGGGGGGCAGCAGUGAGGAAUAUUGGUCAAUGGGCUUACGCCUGAACCAGCCAAGUCGCGUGAGGGAAGACUGCCCUAUGGGUUGUAAACCUCUUUUGUCAGGGAGCAAUUGGCGCUACGUGUAGCGUUAUCGAGAGUACCUGAAGAAAAAGCAUCGGCUAACUCCGUGCCAGCAGCCGCGGUAAUACGGGGGAUCCGAGCGUUAUCCGGAGUUAUUGGGUUUAAAGGGAUCGUAGGUGGGUUGGUAAGUCGGUUGUGAAAGUUUGCGGAUCAACCGUAAAAUUGCAAUUGAUACUGGCAGCCUUGAGUACAGUUGAGGUAGGCGGAAUUCGUGGUGUAGCAGUGAAAUGCGUAGAUAGCGCGAAGAACUCCGAUUGCGAAGGCAGCCUACUAAACAGCCACUGACAUUGAUGCUCGAAGGUGUGGGUAUCAAACAGGAUUAGAUACCCCAGUAGUC